UACGUAGGUGGCAAGCGUUAUCCGGAAUUAUUGGGCGUAAAGCGCGCGCAGGCGGUUUCUUAAGUCUGAUGUGAAAGCCCACGGCUCAACCGUGGAGGGUCAUUGGAAACUGGGGAACUUGAGUGCAGAAGAGAAAAGCGGAAUUCCACGUGUAGCGUUGAAAUGCGUAGAGAUGUGGAGGAACACCAGUGGCGAAGGCGGCUUUUUGGUCUGUAACUGACGCUGAGGCGCGAAAGCGUGGGGAGCAAACAGG
rnacentral:rRNA from 1 species